rnacentral:lncRNA from 1 species
CCUGAUUGGGCAGUCUUCCUGUCUGUGCGAUUACUUGCAAACAUACAGACCAUGCGUGCAUGAAGGUUUGCGGGAUCCAGCUUAGCUCUCUUUAAGAAAUUCCACUUUCACACACACAUCAGAUUUUCUGCCACAAGAUGCUAUUGUAUGCAUCCUAAAAAUUGCUAUUUAAGAUACAAAACUUGAUAAUUCCUGGUAAGGUCAAUGAGAAUUGCUGAUGCUUAAUUUCUCAUAGAGAGGUACCAAAGCAAGGUAUUUUCUGUGUAGCUGAACCCCAUUAGUAUUACGGAGAUAAUGGCAUGUGCACUGGAAGGAAAACAGCCAGCUCAAAGAUGAGAGGAGACCACAUUUUUACGUAAUCAGCAGUUCAGCUAUUGAUUUUUUUUAAAGUAAGGCUUCAGCUGAAACCUUUCAGCAGGUGCUGUAACACAGAGCUUCGGGCAGAAGCUGAAUUUCAGGAAAUCAGAUGGAAUCUUAAUUCUACCUUAGAUUUCUGGCUGACCAUUUGUGGACUGCUAAGCACUGUUUCAAGUGACUUGAACCUGAAUUGCAGAUAGUGAACAGAUCACAAAUGGCAAAUGUCAUUUUUUUUAAACAACUCUGGCUGCUAUUUUAUCUGAAAAUCUUUUUUUUUUUUUUUUAAGAUUCCAGCUUCAUCUGGUUGGGUCAACUCAAAUGCAAUUAAAUUCAAGAGAGCUAAACUCCAUUUUUAGUGUUCACAUCAAUUAGUAGAUCAAGUUAAAGACAGGUAGACACAUCUAGGAGCUUAUUUUGAUCUGCAAACUCGUGUCAAGGUUGCAGACUGUCUGGACUCGAGUGUUACUUUGUUAUUUAACUUGACUUCGUAACUCAAAGUGAAAACUUAAGUCUCAUUCUUGCAAAUACAAGAGACUAUUGUUGCUGAUCUCCACCCUCUAGAGUCUGAUAUCCCUCAGUCAACAGGGUUGAAAUUCUGGCCUUGCUGAAAUCGACGACAAAACUAUUAACAUCCAUGGGGCCAGAAUGUAGCUUGAAGAAUCUUUCUCAAACCAGAAAAGUCCUUCUAUGUUCAAGAAACUUUUAGACUGUGACCAGCUAUGUGGCAGACUUCUGUUAACUCUGGGGUGAUUUACAGCAACAAAAAUGUCUGCAAGAUGCGCUUUGCUGAAGCGUGCAGCAGGAGUGCUCAGCAUGCAGGAGUGCCAUUCAUUGUAGUCAGACACACUCUUUGAAAUCAUAUGCUCCCAGCAGAUUAGUAAGAGUUUUAAUCUCAAAAGACAAAUCUGCCCCACCAUUGAAUUCAUGGAGAGCUGCAUUCCUCACGCAUGAGUACAUGAAAACCUUGUCGUCCCGGCUGCACUGCUAAGGACUUCACAGGGCAAUGUGUGUGUCCUCCUCACAAAGACAUUGUGCCAAACCAAAGCUUUCAUUUUUUCUCAAUUCAGAAUAAAAUUAUCAGGGUUUUGGUCCUGCACAGGCACACUUGUCCAGCAAGAGUAGACAAGAACCAGAAACUUUUAGGGGCAGAAAGUGGCAAUAGCAGAUAAUCACUGUUGAGAUAAAAAUUCUCAGCAACGCUCAACUCGCAGGAGAAUAAACUGGAAGUUUUGAUAAACAGCCCUCGCUCUGCCUUGAUGUCUGCCCACACAAAGCCACUGUUUUCUGUAAAACAUUUUGCCCUUGUUUGCUUCUAUGUAAAUUUGAGAUCACUUGGUAGAAAUGCAACACCAUAGGGAGAUAUGAACACUCAUGGAAUUAGUGAAUGCUUGAAAAGGUAAAAUUCCUAUCCUUGCUGCAGUGAUUAUGAAUACCAGAUUUUUUGUCGUGUUUUUCUCUCUCCAUCCCUCUCUUUUUUUGUUGUAUAUAUAGCCAGUGAUAUUAAUGGCACUCUCGUGUCAGACUUAUUUUUCUAAAUGAAUACUAAGAAUGUUUAAGAGUUCACAUAAUCCAUCUCUAGAAAGGAUAUUUAGCUAAUCUUUCUCAUUUAAUAUACACACAAAAAACUAGACAGGUUUUCACCCAUAAACCUCCGUGGCAUAAAAUGAACAACAGCAACUUUGCCAGCAGUCCAUUUUUAUAAAUAUUCUUCUCAAACUUUUUAGACACGUUCUUUUUCUGGAACUUUAAUAUUCUGGAGGUGAUAAGCUUACACCUUGGAAGCAGCUGACAGUUUGUAAACACAAGUGAUGAUGACUGCAGAAGCCAAAAUAUUUCUUGUCGUAAUACAUCAGGUCAACUCAUAAGAUGAUCUUGUUUGUUUGCAUUUCAAUGAGUUGCUAGUUGAGUGAUUUACACCAGCUGUUUCAAAAAGCAGGAUACAAGCGAUGUCCCGUGUAAUGAUGAGCUGAUGCUGGUUAAAACAUGGCCUUAGUGAUACGUGCUUAUUUGCUCACUUCUUCCACUUUUAUUUUGGUGGAAAGAUGUUCAGUUAAUUUUUUUUCUUUUGGUUUCUUUAUGAUUCUUCUCUUGCUGGCUUGGCCCAGUGCAAAGAAGAUAGUUUAUAAGAGUAUAUAGAAAGAGCUAUUUUUGUGGUAUUACUGCCCUGCUAGCCCUCAUUAUCAUUAUGUCUCUUGAGAAAUAAGUGGUUCUAAUAGUCCUGGGCUUUUCCUAUCCAUGCUGCUUCUUCAGAAGAUAAUUGCUGUCUAUUUCAAACCUUUUCCCUGGCAGAGUAAGGAACGGUCAUGUCCUGUCUCCUCUCUUGCCUCUCUCCCCACCAUGCAUUCAUUUCUCUACAAAAAAUCUAAUAUAGCUCAUCUCUGCUUCUCACUGCGGGCUUCCCUGGCAACAACAACAGCUGAAAAACUUGUGUUUUCCUUUUUUAUAUACAUUUGCAGAUCUGUGAUAAGAAACAACAAAGUCAAAGGGUUCGAAAGUAAAAGUAUAGAAUGAAUUAGAUGUAAAUCUAUCCAAUAGCAAUGGUAUUUCAAAGAGUGUGUCUCAGCACUGCUUGCUGCCGGGCAGUUCAGAGAGAGCAGGAGAAUACCUACGCAUUUGGGCUCUCACGCUCUUUGACCUCCGACUACAGUCUAUCAAGUAUUUUAAAACACUUAUUAUACCUCUAAUUAUAUUUCCAUAAAAUAUAGAAAUAUUUUCUUUGGGAAGACCAAAGCCUUAUAAACACACCAGGAAGAGCAACGUACAGCAAACAAUAACACAUAUGCUCUGAUCCUUCACUUGUUCCGUCCUGGUCCUCAGCAAGUCCUACAGUUGUGUGACAGAAAGGAGCACUCACGUCGCACAGGGAGGAAACAGCUGGUCUCUGGAUUACCAGCGGGUAAACACAUGUGUCUUGAAUUAUUGUUCUGGAGCACAUGGGACGUGGAAAAAGAGCCUGGAUUUGUCCCCGAGCAUGGGAUCUACUACGACCUCCUGAUAAAGUAAAAAAAAAUCCAUCAGUUUGAAGAUUUGUACCCUGACACAAGGAUUUGUAUUCUGGCCAUCCAAUAGUCUUAGCCUAUCUGGUUCAUCCCAUUUGCAGAACCUACAAUUUUGUGGACUCUGAUGUGCUCUUUCUGAUAGACAGACACAGAAGGGGAACCCGGAGGUGCAGGCAUCUACUUAUUGCGCCGUAUGGAUGCAUUUUGAUAAUAACCACACGAGGGCAGAAAAGAACAGACAUCUGCGGACAGCCAGACGGCAGCCUGAUUUAAGAGAAGCGUCAAGUUCUGAUAUUUUUUACAUCUCCCAGAGAAGCUUAGAUGCAGUUCCUGUGCCCACGCGUUCCUACUCGAGACACCAAGAAACCACCGAACUCCUGAGUCCUUUUGGUCCCUGAACUUCAUCCUCAAGUUUUGUCCAGUGGAGUCAUCACACACAAAAGUGUCUGCCACUGGUCCCAGCUCAUGUGAACAAAAGCAGAGGAGAGUUCUGUCUCCCAGGAGACCGAGACCAACAUGGAGAGAGGCCACUCUUGCUAUCCAGAGGCAGAACUACCUGUCAGGAAAGCCCUCAGUCAGGCAUACAUAUGUGCAUUCUUCCCACAAACACACUGGCCCCCAUGUGUCCAUCACCACUCCCCAGCCCUACAGACACUGCUUGCUGCUCCCCGGGGGAGGAAGCAUCAUCACCCCAAGGAUGUCAGCGCACGGCAGAGGAGAAAAUCCUAGAGAGCAUCGUGUCAACAACAAAUCCCAACACAAGAAGCAGUUACGGUCUGUUAAUUCAGGAUUAAGCUUCAUGAAACAGAAAGGAAGGGAGGAGAUCAGUAGAUCUUUGUCCAGUUUUUUAUUACUGGAACGCAUUUAUUACCCUGUAAUAUAACUGCAUAUUAUGAGAGAUCCUGUUGCCACUAAAAUGAAAAGCCCUGUCAUUAAAAAGUCGGCCACUUUUAAUCUCUCUGGUGUUACAAGUCUACUUUUACCCUGCCAUGUUAAGUGGUCGUCUUGUAGAGAAUGCUAUGGGAAAGGACUCCUUCCACAGAACCACAGAAUUGCAGGGAUUGGAAGGGACAUCAAGAGUCCAAUUUUGCUGCAGUAUUAAAGAGGAUGGGAGGGAAUAUAUCGCCAUAAGAGGUAGUACUUCUGCCUUUGCAUAGCUGACUCAAGAAGGUAAGGCCAGCAGCAUUAAGAAACUGAAUAAACCCCUUGGCAUUUAUACAAUCCUUCUCAGCAACACAGCAGGGUGUAGGAAUAUUCUCCUUCCAGACAAAUUGUCCUUCCUUUAAUGGCUAGGCAGCUGGCCAGCAGGGAUUACUAACCUCAUUAAUAUCUCAUGUUUAGUUCUAGCUUAUAAAUAGAGCUGUAAUUAUGCAUGUACAUGGUCUAUGCAACUAAGUGUUCUUAUCAUUGUUUCCCUCCUGUCCUCUUCUCCAGUC